GGGUUGUGAGGUUAAGCGACUAAGCGUACACGGUGGAUGCCCUGGCAGUCAGAGGCGAUGAAGGACGUGCUAAUCUGCGAUAAGCGUCGGUAAGGUGAUAUGAACCGUUAUAACCGGCGAUUUCCGAAUGGGGAAACCCAGUGUGUUUCGACACACUAUCAUUAACUGAAUCCAUAGGUUAAUGAGGCGAACCGGGGGAACUGAAACAUCUAAGUACCCCGAGGAAAAGAAAUCAACCGAGAUUCCCCCAGUAGCGGCGAGCGAACGGGGAGGAGCCCAGAGCCUGAAUCAGUGUGUGUGUUAGUGGAAGCGUCUGGAAAGGCGCGCGAUACAGGGUGACAGCCCCGUACACAAAAAUGCACAUGCUGUGAGCUCGAUGAGUAGGGCGGGACACGUGGUAUCCUGUCUGAAUAUGGGGGGACCAUCCUCCAAGGCUAAAUACUCCUGACUGACCGAUAGUGAACCAGUACCGUGAGGGAAAGGCGAAAAGAACCCCGGCGAGGGGAGUGAAAAAGAACCUGAAACCGUGUACGUACAAGCAGUGGGAGCACGCUUAGGCGUGUGACUGCGUACCUUUUGUAUAAUGGGUCAGCGACUUAUAUUCUGUAGCAAGGUUAACCGAAUAGGGGAGCCGAAGGGAAACCGAGUCUUAACUGGGCGUUAAGUUGCAGGGUAUAGACCCGAAACCCGGUGAUCUAGCCAUGGGCAGGUUGAAGGUUGGGUAACACUAACUGGAGGACCGAACCGACUAAUGUUGAAAAAUUAGCGGAUGACUUGUGGCUGGGGGUGAAAGGCCAAUCAAACCGGGAGAUAGCUGGUUCUCCCCGAAAGCUAUUUAGGUAGCGCCUCGUGAAUUCAUCUCCGGGGGUAGAGCACUGUUUCGGCAAGGGGGUCAUCCCGACUUACCAACCCGAUGCAAACUGCGAAUACCGGAGAAUGUUAUCACGGGAGACACACGGCGGGUGCUAACGUCCGUCGUGAAGAGGGAAACAACCCAGACCGCCAGCUAAGGUCCCAAAGUCAUGGUUAAGUGGGAAACGAUGUGGGAAGGCCCAGACAGCCAGGAUGUUGGCUUAGAAGCAGCCAUCAUUUAAAGAAAGCGUAAUAGCUCACUGGUCGAGUCGGCCUGCGCGGAAGAUGUAACGGGGCUAAACCAUGCACCGAAGCUGCGGCAGCGACGCUGAUGCGUUGUUGGGUAGGGGAGCGUUCUGUAAGCCUGCGAAGGUGUGCUGUGAGGCAUGCUGGAGGUAUCAGAAGUGCGAAUGCUGACAUAAGUAACGAUAAAGCGGGUGAAAAGCCCGCUCGCCGGAAGACCAAGGGUUCCUGUCCAACGUUAAUCGGGGCAGGGUGAGUCGACCCCUAAGGCGAGGCCGAAAGGCGUAGUCGAUGGGAAACAGGUUAAUAUUCCUGUACUUGGUGUUACUGCGAAGGGGGGACGGAGAAGGCUAUGUUGGCCGGGCGACGGUUGUCCCGGUUUAAGCGUGUAGGCUGGUUUUCCAGGCAAAUCCGGAAAAUCAAGGCUGAGGCGUGAUGACGAGGCACUACGGUGCUGAAGCAACAAAUGCCCUGCUUCCAGGAAAAGCCUCUAAGCAUCAGGUAACAUCAAAUCGUACCCCAAACCGACACAGGUGGUCAGGUAGAGAAUACCAAGGCGCUUGAGAGAACUCGGGUGAAGGAACUAGGCAAAAUGGUGCCGUAACUUCGGGAGAAGGCACGCUGAUAUGUAGGUGAAGUCCCUUGCGGAUGGAGCUGAAAUCAGUCGAAGAUACCAGCUGGCUGCAACUGUUUAUUAAAAACACAGCACUGUGCAAACACGAAAGUGGACGUAUACGGUGUGACGCCUGCCCGGUGCCGGAAGGUUAAUUGAUGGGGUUAGCCGCAAGGCGAAGCUCUUGAUCGAAGCCCCGGUAAACGGCGGCCGUAACUAUAACGGUCCUAAGGUAGCGAAAUUCCUUGUCGGGUAAGUUCCGACCUGCACGAAUGGCGUAAUGAUGGCCAGGCUGUCUCCACCCGAGACUCAGUGAAAUUGAACUCGCUGUGAAGAUGCAGUGUACCCGCGGCAAGACGGAAAGACCCCGUGAACCUUUACUAUAGCUUGACACUGAACAUUGAGCCUUGAUGUGUAGGAUAGGUGGGAGGCUUUGAAGUGUGGACGCCAGUCUGCAUGGAGCCGACCUUGAAAUACCACCCUUUAAUGUUUGAUGUUCUAACGUUGACCCGUAAUCCGGGUUGCGGACAGUGUCUGGUGGGUAGUUUGACUGGGGCGGUCUCCUCCUAAAGAGUAACGGAGGAGCACGAAGGUUGGCUAAUCCUGGUCGGACAUCAGGAGGUUAGUGCAAUGGCAUAAGCCAGCUUGACUGCGAGCGUGACGGCGCGAGCAGGUGCGAAAGCAGGUCAUAGUGAUCCGGUGGUUCUGAAUGGAAGGGCCAUCGCUCAACGGAUAAAAGGUACUCCGGGGAUAACAGGCUGAUACCGCCCAAGAGUUCAUAUCGACGGCGGUGUUUGGCACCUCGAUGUCGGCUCAUCACAUCCUGGGGCUGAAGUAGGUCCCAAGGGUAUGGCUGUUCGCCAUUUAAAGUGGUACGCGAGCUGGGUUUAGAACGUCGUGAGACAGUUCGGUCCCUAUCUGCCGUGGGCGCUGGAGAACUGAGGGGGGCUGCUCCUAGUACGAGAGGACCGGAGUGGACGCAUCACUGGUGUUCGGGUUGUCAUGCCAAUGGCACUGCCCGGUAGCUAAAUGCGGAAGAGAUAAGUGCUGAAAGCAUCUAAGCACGAAACUUGCCCCGAGAUGAGUUCUCCCUGACUCCUUGAGAGUCCUGAAGGAACGUUGAAGACGACGACGUUGAUAGGCCGGGUGUGUAAGCGCAGCGAUGCGUUGAGCUAACCGGUACUAAUGAACCGUGAGGCUUAACCUUACAACGCCGAAGGUGUUU
rnacentral:rRNA from 1 species